GACGAACGCUGGCGGCGUGCUUAACACAUGCAAGUCGAACGGAAAGGCCCUGCUUUUGUGGGGUGCUCGAGUGGCGAACGGGUGAGUAACACGUGAGUAACCUGCCCUUGACUUUGGGAUAACUUCAGGAAACUGGGGCUAAUACCGGAUAGGAGCUCCUGCUGCAUGGUGGGGGUUGGAAAGUUUCGGCGGUUGGGGAUGGACUCGCGGCUUAUCAGCUUGUUGGUGGGGUAGUUGCUUACCAAGGCUUUGACGGGUAGCCGGCCUGAGAGGGUGACCGGCCACAUUGGGACUGAGAGACGGCCCAGACUCCUACGGGGGGCAGCAGUGGGGAAUAUUGCACAAUGGGCGGAAGCCUGAUGCAGCAACGCCGCGUGCGGGAUGACGGCCUUCGGGUUGUAAACCGCUUUCGCCUGUGACGAAGCGUGAGUGACGGUAAUGGGUAAAGAAGCACCGGCUAACUACGUG
rnacentral:rRNA from 1 species